rnacentral:rRNA from 1 species
UACGUAGGGUGCGAGCGUUUGUCCGGAAUUAUUGGGCGUAAAGAGCUCGUAGGCGGUGUGUCGCGUCGGCCGUGAAAACCUGGGGCUCAACUCUGGGCGUGCGGUCGAUACGGGCAUCACUUGAGUUCGGCAGGGGAGACUGGAAUUCCUGGUGUAGCGGUGGAAUGCGCAGAUAUCAGGAGGAACACCAAUAGCGAAGGCAGCUCUCUAGUACGGUACUGACGCUGAGACGCGAAAGCGUGGGGAGCGAACAGG